UACGGGGGGAGCAAGCGUUGUUCGGAUUUACUGGGCGUAAAGGGCGCGUAGGCGGUCGUGACAAGUCACUUGUGAAAUCUCCGGGCUUAACUCGGAACGGUCAAGUGAUACUGUCGGACUAGAGUACAGAAGGGGCAACUGAAUUCUCGGUGUAGCGGUGAAAUGCGUAGAUAUCGAGAGGAACACCUGCGGCGAAGGCGGGUUGCUGGGCUGAUACUGACGCUGAGGCGCGAAAGCUAGGGGAGCGAACGGG
rnacentral:rRNA from 1 species